GCGGCGCCGCGGGGAGCGUUUCCUAGCGGGGCCUCCCUGCCCCUCCCCACGCCGGUCGGCGCCGCCCCGGGGCUGGUCGCGGCGUGGCCGUUGCCGAGCGGCCGUUGCCGCAGCGCGGCGCUGGUGCGGAGCGGAGCGGAGCGGAGCAGAGCGCGCCGGUGGUGCCGGGGCGGCCUGAGCGGCGCCGGAGGCGGCCGGGCCCUCCAGAUCGCGGCCCUGUUCGCCGAGGUGGCGGUUCCCGCUGAGGGCUCUGGUUUUGUGGUCCAUUUCUUGUUUUAAGGCUUGUUUUUUUCUCCCCCCCCCCCCCGGUCUUGGCGGAGGUGGCUGUGCAUGUCGCAGUCGUUACGCCCCACACAUGCCCUUCGGCCCCCCGAUGCCAGGCAUUGCGUGGGCAAGAGGUCGGGGCUCUCGAGAGCUCCCCGGUUCCCUCUCUGGAGGUUUGGAGGUGUUGCCAUAGGGCCUCAGCUGUCCCCAACCACCCUCAGGACUGGGGAAUCCAAAAGCUGCUUUGUGCUCUUGCCGUUCCCUAGAGCAGCUGGGAAAGGAGACGCAGUUUUGUGCUUACGUGUACUUUUUCAGUCUUAUGCUCUUUUGCCAGGUUGGCUGCCCAGAGGCACCCUGUUGUCAGGAGGAGUCCCGCGAGGCACCAGGCCAAAGGAUAGCUGCAGUGCAGGAGGAGCGGGGAAAGGAGAGGAUGCUGGAGACUACUGGAGAGCAGAAAGGGAGUGGCACUGCAGGAGCAGGGCUGGAGCGCUCCACGCAGCUUCUGGCAGUGCCCCAAAGCACAAAUGGCAACCUAAAUUGAGCGGUGACAGGGCAGACAGUGAGGAAUAGAGGCAGCUUGGCCUCCAGGGAGGGGAGGUUCAGGCUGUGAUCCAGGAAAAAAAGAGAACCUUUCCCUUUUUCCUUUCAUCCUGCUGUGAGUCUUUCCCCCUGGGCCCUGUGCAACAACUCUCUGGUUGCCCAAAAUGUAGCAGAUGUACCCUUGUGGCAGUUCUUCUUUGUAAGGCCUGACAUAUUAAAAGGGCCGGGGAGGUUACCUUAGCCUAUGUGGAGAUUUGUCUCUGCUGAGCAGGCAUGGUUGGUAAAGGCACUUGGGACAUGAGAUGUUGGAACACUUGUUCAUGCCAUGGUGCUUCCAGAGAUAAGUGUCCUCUGGUUUUUGUCCCUUUCUGUGGCCUUGCUUCCAUUACUGCUGUUUGUUCAUCCUCUUCUGCUUGACCACCAAGCUGUCUAGAUGGGCAGGAGCCAUGACAGUUCGCAUCAUUUGGAAGCAGCAAGACCUUCCCAUCCCCAUCUUCUCCCAAUAAAACAGAGGGGCCUUUAGAGAGAAGUCGAACUUCAGCCCAAACAGCACACAGAUUGCUGAAGAGACUGUUUAAUAAAUCUGAGCCUGGUAUUGAUCCUGCAGAACCUCAUUAGAAACACCUGUUUCAGGGAGGAUGUUGGCAGUCCUUAAUCCACGUGGCAUGUGCUCUGCUAAUGACAAACUAAGGAAGCAUGGCCUACAUAAAUGGACAAUGAAGUAGACUGAAAACCUGGUUGAACUGCUGGGCCUAAGUGCAUGAAGUCCAGUCAGAGGCCAAUCACUAGUGGUGUAUCAGAUGGGUCAAGAGUGGUGCCGGUACUGUUGAACGCCUUCAUUAAUGACCUAGACGAUGGAACAGAGUGCACCCACAGUGACUUUGCAGGCAAAACAAAACUGGAGGGAGUGGUUGAUGCACCAGAUGGUUCUGCUGCCAUGCAUAGGAACUUCAACAAGCUGGAGAAUCACAGAAUAGUUGAAGUUGGGAGGGACCUCUGGCGAACAUCUGGUCUAGCUCCCCAGAUGGACACACUGCGGCAAUUCCAGCAAAGGGCCAUGAAAAUAAUUGAAGGACUAGAGCAUUCGACAUAUGAGGAGAAGCUGAGAGAGCUGGGAUUGUUUAACUUGGAGAAGGCUCAGGGGGAUUUCAUCAAGGCCUGUAAAUACCUGUUGGGGGUGGAAAUAAAGAUGGAGCCAGACUCUUUGCAGUGGUAUCCAGUGACAGGGCAAGAGCCAAUGAGCACAAGUUGAAAUACACAAAAUACCAUUUAAACAUAAGAAAAAACUUUUUUACUGUGAGGGUGGUUAAACAAUAAAACAAGAUGCCCAAAGAGGCUGUGGAAUCUCCAUGCUUAGAGACAGUCAAAAGCCACUGGGCAUGGUCCUGGACAGCCUGCUUUGAGCAGGGGGGUUGGAUCAGAUGGUCUCCAGGGCUUCCUUCCAACACCAACUAUUCCAUGAUUUUUAGAGUAUAGGAAUGCAGCAUUUGGGGGUUUGACUAGACCUUUUUGACCAUUUCCUAUUCCAAGGGUGUGUCAUUAAGCUGAGGGAGAAAGGCAAUGGGGAAGACCAUGACAUUUGAGCCAGAUUUUUUUCUGUAGUUACUUUUUCUGUAGAGUGCAGAAUUUUCAAGCUCUGGAUGCUUCCCUCAUGCUAAGCAAAGAGUUUAGCAGCCCAGGGCACAGAACUAAAACCUUUUCCCAAAACCAAAUGUGCUCCAAGCACAACACACAACAGCACCAAGGUGACAGUGAAAAUAAAUCUUUUGCAGUCAAGGCUUAUUCAUACAGGUAAAAAGCUAAAGCUAAGUUCCUGUGUCCAGCACCCCUCAGCAGCAGGAAGCACACUGCCCCCACAGCAAGUGAAGAGGUGGAUAAUGCUUUCAUGUAUUUGCUAGAAACAGUCCAAGCAACUGUUACUUUGACUUUUUGACCACAGCUGUGCACCUAAGGCCUGUGGCUCAUCUCUUACCUCUCCCAG